UACGAGGGGAGCUAGCGUUGUUCGGAAUUACUGGGCGUAAAGGGCGUAUAGGCGGUACCAUAAGUCAGAUGUGAAAGCCCUAGGCUUAACCUAGGAGGUGCAUUUGAUACUGUGGAACUAGAGAUCGAGAGAGGAAAGUGGAAUUACGAGUGUAGAGGUGAAAUUCGUAGAUAUUCGUAAGAACACCAGUGGCGAAGGCGACUUUCUGGCUCGAUACUGACGCUAAGGCGCGAAAGCGUGGGGAGCAAACAGG
rnacentral:rRNA from 1 species